AGCAGCCGCGGUAAUUCCAGCUCCAAUAGCGUAUAUUAAAGUUGUUGCAGUUAAAAAGCUCGUAGUUGAAUUUCGGGAUCAAGGAAUCGGUCAUGCCUCGGUAUGUACUGGUUUUAUUGGUUCUCACCUUCUAAAGAACCAUGAUGUCAUUCAUUUGAUGUUAUGGGGAAUUAGGACUGUUACCUUGAAAAAAUUAGAGUGUUUAAAGCAGGCUUACGCUUGAAUACAUUAGCAUGGAAUAAUGAAAUAGGACAUCAGAUUCUAUUUUGUUGGUUUCUAGGAUCGAUGUAAUGAUUAAUAGGGAUAGUUGGGGGCAUUAGUAUUCAAUUGUCAGAGGUGAAAUUCUUGGAUUUAUUGAAGACUAACUACUGCGAAAGCAUUUGCCAAGGAUGUUUUCAUUAAUCAAGAACGAAAGUUAGGGGAUCGAAGACGAUCAGAUACCGUCGUAGUCUUAACCAUAAACUAUGCCGACUAGGGAUCGGAUGAUGUUAUUUUUUAGUGUACUCAUUC
rnacentral:misc_RNA from 1 species